CCUACGGGGGGCAGCAGUGGGGAAUCUUCCGCAAUGGACGAAAGUCUGACGGAGCAACGCCGCGUGAGUGAUGACGGCCUUCGGGUUGUAAAGCUCUGUUAAUCGGGACGAAAGGCCUUCUUGCGAAUAGUUAGAAGGAUUGACGGUACCGGAAUAGAAAGCCACGGCUAACUACGUGCCAGCAGCCGCGGUAAUACGUAGGUGGCAAGCGUUGUCCGGAAUUAUUGGGCGUAAAGCGCGCGCAGGCGGAUUGGUCAGUCUGUCUUAAAAGUUCGGGGCUUAACCCCGUGAUGGGAUGGAAACUGCCAAUCUAGAGUAUCGGAGAGGAAAGUGGAAUUCCUAGUGUAGCGGUGAAAUGCGUAGAUAUUAGGAAGAACACCAGUGGCGAAGGCGACUUUCUGGACGAAAACUGACGCUGAGGCGCGAAAGCCAGGGGAGCGAACGGGAUUAGAUACCCGGGUAGUC
rnacentral:rRNA from 1 species